rnacentral:rRNA from 1 species
AACGAACGCUGGUGGUGUGCUUAAUACAUGCAAGUCGAACGAGAAAGCUCUUCGGAGUGAUUAAAGUGGCGUACGGGUGAGUAACACGUAGGUGACCUACCCUUUAGAGCGGGACAACAUCGGGAAACCGUUGCUAAUACCGCAUGUGUUGGAGGACCUUGGAAAACUUCAACAAAGACUUCGGUCGCUAGAGGAUGGGCCUGCGGGACAUUAGCUUGAUGGUGGGGUAACGGCUUACCAUGGCUUCGAUGUCUAGCCGGUCUGAGAGGAUGAUCGGCCACACUGGAACUGAGACACGGUCCAGACUCCUACGGGAGGCAGCAGUAGGGAAUAUUGCGCAAUGGGGGAAACCCUGACGCAGCAACACCACGUGAGUGAGGAAGGCCUUCGGGUUGUAAAACUCUGUCCUAGGGGAAAAACGGCUUCGGCUUGAUGGUACCCUAGAAGAAAGCACCGGCUAACUUCG